GGGGAUGACACGGCUUCGACGCGUAGUAAGCGUGCAGCGGACUGUCCUGCCGAGCAUCCUGAUACGCUCGUAAAACCUGUCAGGAACUCGCAACUGCGGACGACUAUUCGUACGCGAUGGCGGCGUAACAGCCCCCAUCUGUCCUGCGUCGCUCCUGACCCUUGGGGAGCGUAGGACAUCGACAAAAAGGGUGUAGUCGCCGCGUUCUCCGGCUGAGGACGUGUUGGCGAACCUCAAUCAGCCUUUGCGCCGCCCUGGCCUCGUGGAUGGGCAGACGGGAGGCGUAAGUACCUAAUGCAUCCGCUAUGCAGGUAGAGGUUCGACCUGUACGGCUACGCGGACCCGGGUUCGACUCCCGGCAUCUCCACAA
rnacentral:tmRNA from 1 species